rnacentral:rRNA from 1 species
AACGCUGGCGGUCUGUUUAACACAUGCAAGUCGAACGGAGUACUUCGGUCUUAGUGGCGGACGGGUGAGUAACGCGUGAGGAUCUGCCCUUAGGACGGGGACAACAGCUGGAAACGGCUGCUAAUACCCGAUGUGCCGAGAGGUGAAACUAUUUGGCCUGAGGAUGAGCUCGCGUCUGAUUAGCUAGUUGGAGUGGUAACGGCACACCAAGGCGACGAUUANUAACUGGUCUGAGAGGAUGAUCAGCCACACUGGGACUGAAACACGGCCCAAACNCCUACGGGAGGCANCANUGGGGAAUUUUCCNCAAUGGGCGAAAGCCUGACGGAACAAANACCNCGUGCGGNAAGGAAGGUCUAUUUGAUUGUAAACCCGCUUUUGAUAGGGAAGAAGAUCUGACGGUACCUAUCGAAUCAGCAUCGGCUAACUCCGUGCCAGCAGCCGCGGUAAUACGGGGGAUGCAAGCGUUAUCCGGAAUUAUUGGGCGUAAAGCGUCCGUAGGUGGUUUUAAAAGUCUGUUGUCAAAUCACGAGGCUUAACCUCGUACAGGCAGUGGAAACUAUAAGACUAGAGUGCGGUAGGGGUAGAGGGAAUUUCCAGUGUAGCGGUGAAAUGCGUAGAUAUUGGAAAGAACACCGGUGGCGAAGGCGCUCUACUGGGCCUGCACUGACACUGAGGGACGAAAGCUAGGGGAGCGAAAGGGAUUAGAUACCCCUGUAGUCCUA